rnacentral:rRNA from 1 species
CACGCAUGACACACUGCAUAUCAAUAAGCGGAGGAAAAGAAACUAACAUAGGAUUCCCUUAGUAACGGCGAGUGAAGCGGGAAGAGCUCAAAUUUGAAAUCUUCAAGGUUUUACCUUGACGAAUUGUAGUUUAAAGAAGUGUUUUCUGUUGGAGUUUUGGUAAAAGUUCUUUGGAAUAGGACAUCAUAGAGGGUGAGAAUCCCGUAUUUGACCAUUAUUUCCAACUUUGUGAUACACUUUCAAAGAGUCGGAUUGUUUGGGAAUGCAGUCCAAAAUGGGUGGUAAAUUUCAUCUAAAGCUAAAUACUGGCGAGAGACCGAUAGCGAACAAGUACCGUGAGGGAAAGAUGAAAAGAACUUUGAAAAGAGAGUUAAACAGUACGUGAAAUUGUCAAAAGGGAAGCGUUUGACACCAGUGUUGUUUUCUCGAAAAUCAAUUAAAAAUGGUGGGAUUUUGUGUUGUAUUGACUUUAUCAGCUUUCUGCACUUUUUUCCUAUCUUUUUUAAUGCACUUCUCGUUUAACAAGUCAACAUCAAUUUCUUUUGCUGUAAAAGAGUCAUUGGAAGGUGGCUUUCUUUUCGGAGAAAGUGUUUAUAGCCUUUGAUCUUCUGCAAUCGGAGAGAUUGAGGUCUGCAGCGUAGACUCUUCGGGGUUAGAUACAUUUGUGCUAAGCUAUAGCCUUUCAUAGACAACUUGUUGACUAUGAUCAGUCAUGUAGCUUACUCGCUUAUGCUAUUUUACCUACGCUUAGGAUGUUGAACUACUGAGACAUAGA